rnacentral:rRNA from 1 species
GACGAACGCUGGCGGCGUGCCUAACACAUGCAAGUCGAACGAGGCCACUCCUUCGGGAGUGAGUCGAGUGGGGGACGGGUGAGUAACACGUGAGCAACCUGUCUUCGUGCGGGGGACAACCCGGGGAAACCCGGGCUAAUACCGCAUGGUCAGGAUCCUCGAGUGAGGGACCUGGGAAAGAUGGCCUCUUUACAAUGCUGUCGUGCGGAGAGGGGCUCGCGGGCUAUCAGCUUGUUGGUAGGGUAACGGCCUACCAAGGCGACGACGGUUAGGGGGUCUGAGAGGACGACCCCCCACAUUGGAACUGAGACACGGUCCAGACUCCUACGGGAGGCAGCAGUGGGGAAUUUUGGGCAAUGGCCGAAAGGCUGACCCAGCGACGCCGCGUGCGGGAGGACGCCCUUCGGGGUGUAAACCGCUGUCAGAGGGGACGAAUGACCGGGACGGGAAUACCGUUCUGGAGUGACGGUACCCUCAGAGGAAGCACCGGCUAACUCUGU